GAUGAAGAACGCAGCGAAAUGCGAUACUUGGUGUGAUUUGCAGAAUCCCGUGAACCAUCGAGUCUUUGAACGCAAGUUGCGCCUCAAGCCAUUAGGUUGAGGGCACGUCUGCCUGGGCGUCACAUAUCGUUGCCUGAUGCCAGUUUCCUCGUGAUGGGUGACUGUGCAGGGCGAAUGAUGGCUUCCCGUGAGCAUUGUUGCCUCAUGGUUGGUUGAAAAUUGAGUCCUUGGUAGGGAGCGCCGUGAUAGAUGGUGGUUGAGUGACGAACGAGACCCAAUCAUGUGAGACCCCUACCGAAUUUGGCCUUCAUGACCCACAUGCGUCUUUGGAACGCUCAUGACGAGACCUCAGGUCAGGCGGGGCUACCCGCUGAGUUUAAGCAUAUCAAUAAGCGGAGGA
rnacentral:misc_RNA from 1 species